AUUCCCCUAGUAACUGCGAGUGAAGCGGGAAAAGCUCAAAUUUAAAAUCUGGUGGUCUUUGGCCAUCCGAGUUGUAAUUUAGAGAAGCGUCUUCCGCGCUGGACCAUGCACAAGUCUCCUGGAAUGGAGCGUCAUAGAGGGUGAGAAUCCCGUCUUUGGCAUGGACCCCCAGGGCUUCUGUGAUGCGCUCUCAAAGAGUCGAGUUGUUUGGGAAUGCAGCUCAAAAUGGGUGGUGAACUCCAUCUAAAGCUAAAUAUUGGCGAGAGACCGAUAGCGAACAAGUACCGUGAGGGAAAGAUGAAAAGCACUUUGGAAAGAGAGUGAAACAGUACGUGAAAUUGUUGAAAGGGAAACGCUUGAAGUCAGUCGCGUCGACCGAGACUCAGCCUUGCCUCGGCUUGGUGUACUUCUCGGCCCGACGGGUCAGCGUCAAUUUUGAUCCUUGGAUAAUGGCAAGGGAAAGGUAGCACCUUUACAGGUGUGUUAUAGUCCUCUGUCGGAUGCAAGGGUUGGGAUUGAGGAAUUCAGCACGCACCUCAUCGGUGUCGGGGCCUCGGCCUACGUUACGUGCUUAGGAUGCUGGCAUAAUGGCUUUAAACGACCCGUCUUGAAACACGGACCAAGGAGUCUAACAUGCACGCGAGUGUUCGGGUGGAAAACCCGUGCGCGUAAUGAAAGUAAAAGUUGGGACCUCUGUCGUGGAGGGCACCGACGCCCGGACCAGACCUUCUGUGACGGCUCUGCGGUAGAGCGUGUAUGUUGGGACCCGAAAGAUGGUGAACUAUGCCUGAAUAGGGUGAAGCCAGAGGAAACUCUGGUGGAGGCUCGUAGCGAUUCUGACGUGCAAAUCGAUCGUCAAAUUUGGGUAUAGGGGCGAAAGAC
rnacentral:rRNA from 1 species